GAGAUUUAGCUCAGUGGUAGAGCGCUUGCCUAGCAAGCACAAGGCCCUGGGUUCAGUCCCCAGCUCG
rnacentral:tRNA from 1 species